rnacentral:rRNA from 1 species
UACGUAGGGGGCAAGCGUUGUCCGGAAUCAUUGGGCGUAAAGAGCGCGUAGGCGGCCCUGUAAGUCCGCUGUGAAAGUCAAGGGCUCAACCCUUGAAUGCCGGUGGAUACUGCAGGGCUAGAGUCCGGAAGAGGCGAGUGGAAUUCCUGGUGUAGCGGUGAAAUGCGCAGAGUAAUCAGGAGGAACACCGAUAGCGAAGGCAGCUCGCUGGGACGGUAGCUGACGCUGAGGCGCGAAAGCGUGGGGAGCGAACAGG